GAUGAACGCUGGCGGUAUGCUUAACACAUGCCAGUCGAACGGUCACUUCGGUGAUAGUGGCGGACGGGUGAGUAACGCGUGAGAAUCUGUCUUCAGGUCGGGGACAACAGUUAGAAAUGACUGCUAAUACCGGAUGUGCCUUUGGGUGAAAGAUUUAUUGCCUGAAAAAGAGCUCGCGUCAGAUUAGCUAGUAGGUGGUGUAAGAGACUACCUAGGCUCCGAUCUGUAGCUGGUCUGAGAGGACGAUCAGCCACAUUGGAACUGAGACACGGUCCAGACUCCUACGGGAGGCAGCAGUGGGGAAUUUUCCGCAAUGGGCGAAAGCCUGACGGAGCCAUACCGCGUGAGGGACGAAGGCUUUUGGGUCGUAAACCUCUUUUCUCAAGGAAGAUGAUGACGGUACUUGAGGAAUAAGCAUCGGCUAACUCUGUG
rnacentral:rRNA from 1 species